UACAGAGGGGGCAAGCGUUAUUCGGAAUUAUUGGGCGUAAAGAGCUCGUAGGCGGCUUGUCGCGUCGACCGUGAAAACUUGGGGCUCAACCCCAAGCCUGCGGUCGAUACGGGCAGGCUCGAGUUCGGUAGGGGAGACUGGAAUUCCUGGUGUAGCGGUGAAAUGCGCAGAUAUCAGGAGGAACACCGAUGGCGAAGGCAGGUCUCUGGGCCGAUACUGACGCUGAGGAGCGAAAGCGUGGGGAGCGAACAGG
rnacentral:rRNA from 1 species